rnacentral:rRNA from 1 species
AGCGAACGCUGGCGGCAGGCCUAACACAUGCAAGUCGAACGAACCCUUCGGGGUUAGUGGCGGACGGGUGAGUAACACGUGGGAACGUGCCUUUAGGUUCGGAAUAACUCAGGGAAACUUGUGCUAAUACCGAAUGUGCCCUUCGGGGGAAAGAUUUAUCGCCUUUAGAGCGGCCCGCGUCUGAUUAGCUAGUUGGUGAGGUAAUGGCUCACCAAGGCUACGAUCAGUAGCUGGUCUGAGAGGAUGACCAGCCACAUUGGGACUGAGACACGGCCCAAACUCCUACGGGAGGCAGCAGUGGGGAAUCUUGCGCAAUGGGCGAAAGCCUGACGCAGCCAUGCCGCGUGGAUGAUGAAGGUCUUAGGAUUGUAAAAUCCUUUCACCGGUGAAGAUAAUGACUGUAGCCGGAGAAGAAGCCCCGGCUAACUUCGUGCCAGCAGCCGCCGUAA